CUGCUAUCAAUGUGUUGAAGAAAAUCUUAGGCCCCAUUUGAGACGGUUGGAAUUGUCUAAAACUGAAGAAAGUCAUCCAUGAAAACCUUAGACUAGCAUUGGAAGCAGUUGUCCAACAAAGAUACCUGCACAAAGAGAAAGUUAAUGGUCCAGAGGUAAUGCAACGUUUUAUGAACUUGCUGAGAGGUCACUAGAUGAGCCAGUUAACGAUGGAAUGAAAGAGCAUAUAUCAAAGGUUGUCUAAAAGCAAAAAGCACUUGUUGCUUUACAACUUUCAAGACGAAAGAGGAACAAAAAAUAGUCUAUGGUGAAUGAGGUUAGUUAGCAAAC